UACGGAGGGUGCGAGCGUUGUCCGGAUUUAUUGGGUUUAAAGGGUGCGUAGGCGGCCUUAUAAGUCCGGGGUGAAAGCCCGUUGCUUAACAACGGAACUGCCCUGGAUACUGCGAGGCUUGAGUACAGACGAGGUUGGCGGAAUGGACCGAGUAGCGGUGAAAUGCAUAGAUACAGUCCAGAACCCCGAUUGCGAAGGCAGCUGACUAGGCUGUUACUGACGCUGAGGCACGACAGCGUGGGGAGCGAACAGG
rnacentral:misc_RNA from 1 species